AAAGAUAAAACUAUCAGGACAGGAAUUGCCUCUUCCCAGAUGUACACCCUGAGUCCUUCCAGAAUGGGUCCAAGCUGCAGCUACAUCCUGGAUGCUACAAUUAUGCGAGUGGUGCAAUUAACAUCCCUGACAUUGUAUCUCAAGAUAAGAUGCUCGUCUCAGAAGACUGUGAAAGUGAAAUGUAAGAGGAGACACUCAGAAGGAACUUUACAUUUUGACAAGCAAUCUAAGCUAUUACCCAGCCUGAAAAGUGAAU